GCUCUUCACUGUGAUGAAAUUAUCUCCUAUCUCCUAUCGGGUCUUGGCCAUGAUUAUGACUCCUUUGUUACUAUCAUCACAGCCCGCACAGAUCCUGUCACCUUAAAGGAAGUGUAUGCUCUCUUACUCACCACAGAGU